rnacentral:lncRNA from 1 species
UUUUAUUUGGCAAAUUUGUAUGCAAACGAAUCUCCAUACAAAUUUGUACAAACUUUAUUCCAUUUACUAAUGCUAUAUUCCAUUGAAAGGUCAUUUUUUUGCACCUGAAGUAAACAAAAUUGAAAUUUUCGCAGAUUUCUUUUUUAGCCCACAAAUUUUUUGAUUUUGAAUAAAUUUGUAAAACAUAGUUAUUCGUAUAGUUAUUUUUAUAAACGCCAAUCACUUAUUCAAAAAUAACUCUGCCGCCUAUCUAGUCUCCUUGAGCUACAAAAACGUUUUUCCGGUUUUGGAAAUAGCAUCAGCUACACCUUCCUUAUAUGAGCUCCCCAAAAAUCGACACCUCCUUCUUAGCCUGUCCAAGCCCAAAAGAGAGACCUUUGAAAAAUUUAAGCCUCCUAGUUUCAAUAGUGUGGAAAGUAUAAGGACACUCACACAAUCUAUCUUGUAUAUUUAUACAAUUUUAUGAGCUUCAUUGAUGUAUGUAUGUUUAAGAUUUUGUUAACUACUGGGUCAUUCCAUGUCAAAUCAACGAGUGCAUGUCACCCGAUAUUCUCAGAUUUGGAUGAUUUUUGGCACACAAGCUCAAAUUCAUGAAUUAGUUAAGUGUGCAAAAUUUUAGCAGAUAAUUAUGAGAUAUAGGUAAGCGUCCCUGACCAAAAUUUUCACGGUCACUUUAAUGUCUUAUUACUAGAAUAUAACUAUUUAUUAUGA